GGACCAAGGAGUCUAGCAUGUGCGCGAGUCAUUGGGAUAUUGACUAAACCUAAAGGCGCAAUGAAAGUGAAGGUCCGCCUUGCGCGGACCGAGGGAGGAUGGGCGGCCCCAAGGGACCGCCUCGCACUCCCGGGGCGUCUCGUUCUCAUAGCGAGAAGAGGCGCACCCAGAGCGUACACGCUGGGACCCGAAAGAUGGUGAACUAUGCCUGGUCAGGACGAAGUCAGGGGAAACCCUGAUGGAGGUCCGUAGCGAUUCUGACGUGCAAAUCGAUCGUCGGAACUGGGUAUAGGGGCGAAAGACUAAUCGAACCAUCUAGUAGCUGGUUCCCUCCGAAGUUUCCCUCAGGAUAGCUGGCGCUCGCUUCUCGCGAGUCUCAUUCGGUAAAGCGAAUGAUUAGAGGCAUUGGGGUCGAAACGGCCUCAACCUAUUCUCAAACUUUAAAUGGGUGAGAUCUCCGGCUUGCUUGAACUGUGAAGCCGCGAGAUAUCGGAUCAGAGUGCCAAGUGGGCCACUUUUGGUAAGCAGAACUGGCGCUGUGGGAUGAACCAAACGCCGAGUUAAAGCGCCUAAAUCGACGCUUAUGGGAUACCAUGAAAGGCGUUGGUAACUUAAGACAGCAGGACGGUGGCCAUGGAAGUCGGA
rnacentral:rRNA from 1 species